rnacentral:misc_RNA from 1 species
AACCUUAUGGACCUGCGGGCGUAUACCUGCGGAAGGAUCAUUACAUGGCGGAGAAGGUGGGCACCUGGCCAAAAAAAACUCCAGGUUGUCAUGCCUUCACGCUCUUCCACCCUUGUCUAUUUGUACCUUUUGUCGUUCCCUCGGCGGGUUUCGACCCGCCGGCGGUAACCAUUGAAAACCCUUUUUGCAGUUUAGCAUCCAAUUCUUCUGAUCAAAUAUCAAAUCGUUACAACUUUCAAC